rnacentral:lncRNA from 1 species
AUUGUAUUGCUAAAAUAGGUUUCUUUUCAAAACUAAUUGUCAAUUUUCUUUCUCUUUUAAAAGAAAGAAAUGAGGUUAUUGAUCCAGUGUCCCAAAUGUUGUAUUUGUUGAUGGCUACUAGAGUCAGAUGUAGAAGAAUGCAAACAUCCAUCUGCUCACUGGAGAACCAAAGGAUCCAGUCACGGGCUUGGAGGCCAUGGCAAUGUCCCACGCAAGCUUAUAUGAAGGAUCUGCACCGGAAAGGCCCAAAGGCCAAUGGUGGAAGACAGAAAGUUUGUGCCAGCAGGAUGAAAGAUCUGCACUGGAAGCCAGGAGAUGAUGUCCAAGAUGAAGAUGAGGGUUGACAUCAGCCAAAGCUCCUUUCCAGACAAACCACCAAAAGCAGCUUCUUCAGGAACAUCAGGGGUAUGUAAUCUUCCUCGCCAGUUCUUUUUUUAAUGCUAUUGGCAACAAUUCUCAGGUGGGUCUUCAAGACCAGAACCACGGUGAUCAAGUUCAGCUGAGUGUCCCCACUUAAGUUGACCAUUAAUUAAUCCACCACACACAGUA